AACGGAGGGGGUUAGCGUUGUUCGGAAUGACUGGGCGUAAAGCGCGCGUAGGCGGACCUGCAAGUCGGGGGUGAAAUCCCGGGGCUCAACCCUGGAAUGGCCUUCGAGACUGCCGGUCUUGAGUUCGAGAGAGGUGGGUGGAAUUCCGAGUGUAGAGGUGAAAUGCGUAGAGAUGUGGAGGAACACCAGUGGCGAAGGCGGCUUUCUGGUCUGUAACUGACGCUGAGGCGCGAAAGCGUGGGGAGCAAACAGG
rnacentral:rRNA from 1 species